GUACCUGCGGAGGGAUCAUUACACAAAUAUGAAGGCGGGCUGGAACCUCUCGGGGUUACAGCCUUGCUGAAUUAUUCACCCUUGUCUUUUGCGUACUUCUUGUUUCCUUGGUGGGUUCGCCCACCACUAGGACAAACAUAAACCUUUUGUAAUUGCAAUCAGCGUCAGUAACAAAUUAAUAAUUACAACUUUCAACAACGGAUCUCUUGGUUCUGGCAUCGAUGAAGAACGCAGCGAAAUGCGAUAAGUAGUGUGAAUUGCAGAAUUCAGUGAAUCAUCGAAUCUUUGAACGCACAUUGCGCCCUUUGGUAUUCCAAAGGGCAUGCCUGUUCGAGCGUCAUUUGUACCCUCAAGCUUUGCUUGGUGUUGGGCGUCUUGUCUCUAGCUUUGCUGGAGACUCGCCUUAAAGUAAUUGGCAGCCGGCCUACUGGUUUCGGAGCGCAGCACAAGUCGCACUCUCUAUCAGCAAAGGUCUAGCAUCCAUUAAGCCUUUUUUCAACUUUGACCUCGGAUCAGGUAGGAUCCCGUUCCUC
rnacentral:rRNA from 1 species